GACGAACGCUGGCGGCGUGCUUAACACAUGCAAGUCGAACGGAAAGGCCCUGCUUUUGUGGGGUGCUCGAGUGGCGAACGGGUGAGUAACACGUGAGUAACCUGCCCUUGACUUUGGGAUAACUUCAGGAAACUGGGGCUAAUACCGGAUAGGAGCUCCUGCUGCAUGGUGGGGGUUGGAAAGUUUCGGCGGUUGGGGAUGGACUCGCGGCUUAUCAGCUUGUUGGUGGGGUAGUGGCUUACCAAGGCUUUGACGGGUAGCCGGCCUGAGAGGGUGACCGGCCACAUGGGGACUGAGAUACGGCACAGACUCCUAGGGGGGGGAGCAGUGGGGAAUAUUGCACAAGGGGGGGAAGCCUGAUGCAGCAACGCCGCGGGCGGGAAGGGGGCCUUGGGGUUGUAAACCGCUUUCGCCGUGGACGAAGGGUGAGUGACGGUAAUGGGUAAAGAAGCACCGGCUAACUACGU
rnacentral:rRNA from 1 species